rnacentral:rRNA from 1 species
GAUUCCCUAGUAACUGCGAGUGAAGCGGGAAAAGCUCAAAUUUGAAAUCUGGCAGUCUUUUUUUUCUUCUUUGGCUGUCCGAGUUGUAAUCUAGAGAAGUGCUUACCUGCGCUGGACCAUGUAUAAGUCUCCUGGAAUGGAGCCUCACAGAGGGUGAGAAUCCCGUCUUUGACAUGGACCGCCAGUGCGUUGUGGUGCGCUCUCAAAGAGUCGAGUUGUUUGGGAAUGCAGCUCUAAACGGGUGGUAAACUCCAUCUAAAGCUAAAUAUUGGCGAGAGACCGAUAGCGAACAAGUACCGUGAGGGAAAGAUGAAAAGGACUUUGGAAAGAGAGUUAAACAGUAUGUGAAAUUGUUGAAAGGGAAACGCUUGAAGUCAGUUAUGUCGGCUGGGGAUCAACCUAGCCAUCUUUUUGGCUGGGUGAAUUUCCUAGUCUGACAGGCCAACAUCAGUCUUGACUGCCGGAAAAGAGCGGAGGGAAUGUGGCACCUUUGGGUGUGUUAUAGCCCUCUGUCAUAUGCGGCAGUCGGGACUGAGGGAUGCAGCGUGCCGCGAGGCUGGGUUUCGACCACGUUCACGCUUAGGAUGUUGGCUUUUAAUGGCUCCAAUCGACCCGUCUUGAAACACGGACCAAGGAGUCUAACAUGCCUGCGAGUGUUUGGGUGGAAAACCCUUGUGCACAAUGAAAGUGAAAGUUGAGAUCCCCGUCAUGGGGAGCAUCGACGCCCGGACUUGAGCUUUUAGCGACGGAUCCGCGGUAGAGCAUGCAUGUUGGGACCCGAAAGAUGGUGAACUAUGCCUGAAUAGGGCAAAGCCAGAGGAAACUCUGGUGGAGGCUCGUAGCGAUUCUGACGUGCAAAUCGAUCGUCAAAUUUGGGUAUAGGGGCGAAAGACUAAUCGAACC